AGAAAGACGUUGAUCAGGAACUUAACUAUUUCAAGGUAUCUCAGAAAGUUGUCGGUAGAUGCGAGACAAUAUAUUACCUAAAUAAUUAUUAUCACCUGAUAGUUGUGCUUUGAAUCCUAUUAGAAGUCACUGGUUGCACCCAUUAUCGUGCUGACAAAUUAGUAUUAGUUUGUUCAAGGUGUAUGUAGUGAUAUGUAUGCAAAUAAAGGUGGUAACGCGUUUAGACGCCCUUUGA
rnacentral:ncRNA from 1 species